rnacentral:lncRNA from 1 species
AUGACUCCUAGAGAAAAAAAAAGCUUUGUACCUGAGUCCGAGGACGAGGCGUGUAGAGGCGACCCCAACUCCGAGCCGUCUCUCGACGGCUGCGUCGUCCCUGACUUCGAGGAUGAGGCGUGUGGUAGCGACCCCGACUUCGAGCUGCCUCCCGACGGCUGCAUCGUCCCUGACUCCGAGGACGAGGCGUGUGGCGGUGACCCCGACUCCGAGCUGCCUCCCAAUGGCGGCUUUGUCCCUAAAUCCGAGGAGAAGGCGUGUGGCGGUGACCCUACUCCGAACCACCUCCUGACGGCUGCAUCCUCCCUGAAUUCGAGGAUGAGGCGUGUGGCGGCAACCCCGACUCCGAGCUGCCUCCCGACAGCUUCUCCAUCCCUCGUGGGAAUGUGAUCAUGUGGGG